rnacentral:rRNA from 1 species
CCUACGGGCGGCAGCAGUGAGGAAUAUUGGUCAAUGGGCGCGAGCCUGAACCAGCCAAGUAGCGUGAAGGAUGACUGCCCUACGGGUUGUAAACUUCUUUUAUAAAGGAAUAAAGUGAGGCACGUGUGCCUUUUUGUAUGUACUUUAUGAAUAAGGAUCGGCUAACUCCGUGCCAGCAGCCGCGGUAAUAUGGAGGAUCCGAGCGUUAUCCGGAUUUAUUGGGUUUAAAGGGAGCGUAGAUGGGUUGUUAUGUCAGUUGUGAAAGUUUGCGGCUCAACCGUAAAAUUGCAAUUGAUACUGGCGGUCUUGAGUACAGUUGAGGUAGGCGGAAUUCGUGGUGUAGCGGUGAAAUGCUUAGAUAUCACGAAGAACUCCGAUUGCGAAGGCAGCUUACUAAACUGCCACUGACAUUGAUGCUCGAAAGUGUGGGUAUCAAACAGGAUUAGAUACCCCUGUAGUC